GGCUGGUCCGAGUGCAGUGGUGUUUACAACUAAUUGAUCACAACCAGUUACAGAUUUCUUUGUUCGUUCUCCACUCCCACUGCUUCACUUGACUUUAA
rfam:Callithrix jacchus chromosome 9, whole genome shotgun sequence